UGCGGGUUGGAGGAGUGGUUUCCUUGUUAGGCUCAUACCCUGAAGACACGGGUUCAAAUCCCGUACCCGCAU
rnacentral:tRNA from 1 species